rnacentral:lncRNA from 1 species
GGGGUACAGAACACCUAAGAAAAGAUAACUCUUACUCAUGGUCUGAUUCAUUGCUACGUUUUAAAAUCAUGUGCAAUAUGCAAGCUUUUAAAAGAUCAUGAUUAGAAUGAUUACAUUAUUGCUAAGAGCAGCUGUACACAUAUUGUUAUUCAUUUAAUCUUUUAAUCCAUUUAAAGUUACUCAUUUUCCAUGAAUGAAUCUUUAAAGAGAUAUAAUA